rnacentral:rRNA from 1 species
GAUGAACGCUGGCGGCGUGCUUAACACAUGCAAGUCGAACGGAAAGGCCCAAGCUUGCUUGGGUACUCGAGUGGCGAACGGGUGAGUAACACGUGGGUGAUCUGCCCUGCACUUCGGGAUAAGCCUGGGGAACUGGGUCUAAUACCGGAUAGGACGAUGGUUUGGAUGCCAUUGUGGAAAGUUUUUUCGGUGUGGGAUGAGCUCGCGGCCUAUCAGCUUGUUGGUGGGGUAAUGGCCUACCAAGGCGUCGACGGGUAGCCGGCCUGAGAGGGUGUACGGCCACAUUGGGACUGAGAUACGGCCCAGACUCCUACGGGAGGCAGCAGUGGGGAAUAUUGCACAAUAGGCGCAAGCCUGAUGCAGCGACGCCGCGUGGGGGAUGACGGCCUUCGGGUUGUAAACUCCUUUCGCUAGGGACGAAGCGUUUUUGUGACGGUACCUGGAGAAGAAGCACCGGCUAACUACGUG